rnacentral:rRNA from 1 species
GAUGAACGCUGGCGGCGUGCCUAAUACAUGCAAGUCGAGCGAACGGACGAGAAGCUUGCUUUUCUGAUGUUAGCGGCGGACGGGUGAGUAACACGUGGAUAACCUACCUAUAAGACUGGGAUAACUUCGGGAAACCGGAGCUAAUACCGGAUAAUAUUUUGAACCGCAUGGUUCAAAAGUGAAAGACGGUCUUGCUGUCACUUAUAGAUGGAUCCGCGCUGCAUUAGCUAGUUGGUAAGGUAACGGCUUACCAAGGCAACGAUGCAUAGCCGACCUGAGAGGGUGAUCGGCCACACUGGAACUGAGACACGGUCCAGACUCCUACGGGAGGCAGCAGUGGGGAAUCUUCGGCAAUGGGCGAAAGCCUGACGGAGCAACGCCGCGUGGGUGAUGAAGGUCUUCGGAUCGUAAAACUCUGUUAUUGGGGAAGAACAUAUGUGUAAGUAAAUGUGGACAUCUUGACGGUACCUAAUCAGAAAGCCACGGCUAACUUCGUG